rnacentral:tRNA from 1 species
GGCUGCGUGGCGCAAUUGAAUAGCGCAUCAGAUUUCGGCUCUGAGGGUUACAGGUUUGAAUCCUGUCGCUGUCA